UUUAACAUGAGAGUUUGAUCCUGGCUCAGGAUGAACGCUGGCGGCGUGCUUAACACAUGCAAGUCGAACGAAGCAAUCUAACGGAAGUUUUCGGAUGGAAGCUAGAUUGACUGAGUGGCGGACGGGUGAGUAACGCGUGGGUAACCUGCCUCACACUGGGGGACAACAGUUAGAAAUGACUGCUAAUACCGCAUAAGCGCACAGGACCGCAUGGUCCGGUGUGAAAAACUCCGGUGGUGUGAGAUGGACCCGCGUUUGAUUAGCUAGUUGGUGGGGUAACGGCCUACCAAGGCGACGAUCAAUAGCCGACCUGAGAGGGUGACCGGCCACAUUGGGACUGAGACACGGCCCAAACUCCUACGGGAGGCAGCAGUGGGGAAUAUUGCACAAUGGGGGAAACCCUGAUGCAGCGACGCCGCGUGAGUGAAGAAGUAUUUCGGUAUGUAAAGCUCUAUCAGCAGGGAAGAAAAUGACGGUACCUGACUAAGAAGCCCCGGCUAACUACGUGCCAGCAGCCGCGGUAAUACGUAGGGGGCAAGCGUUAUCCGGAUUUACUGGGUGUAAAGGGAGCGUAGACGGUAAAGCAAGUCUGAAGUGAAAGCCCGGGGCUCAACCCCGGGACUGCUUUGGAAACUGUUUAACUAGAGUGCUGGAGAGGUAAGCGGAAUUCCUAGUGUAGCGGUGAAAUGCGUAGA
rnacentral:rRNA from 2 species